rnacentral:rRNA from 1 species
AACGAACGCUGGCGGCGUGCUUAACACAUGCAAGUCGAGCGAGAAAGGGAGCUUGCUCCUGAGUAAAGCGGCGCACGGGUGAGUAACACGUGGGUAACCUGCCUUUCAGUGGGGGAUAACAGCCCGAAAGGGCUGCUAAUACCGCAUUCGUCCACACGGUCACAUGUCUGUGUGGAGAAAGAGGCGCAAGUCUCGCUGGAAGAUGGGCCCGNGGUCCAUUAGCUAGUUGGUGGGUAAAGGCCUACCAAGGCUUCGAUGGAUAGCUGGUCUGAGAGGAUGAUCAGCCACACUGGAACUGAGACACGGUCCAGACUCCUACGGGAGGCAGCAGUGGGGAAUAUUGCGCAAUGGGCGAAAGCCUGACGCAGCAACGCCGCGUGUGUGAUGAAGGCCUCGG